UUGCUUCCUGAAUGAUUUAAUUAUCACCGAUAAUUAUUAUUUAAAUCGAUUUUGCCACUAUUUGAGUGCUCAGAGCAAUCAUAGUGCUUAGUGUUAACUCCGUUGUCUAUAAUAUUCGGUUCUACACUAAUUUUGAGUUCAAAAACAAACAUUUUAGUGUUUGAUUUUCAAUUUCUAGUAAACUGUCCAGUGAUUUCUUUCCUCUAUAAUUUCUUUUUUAGCUGCUGCAGUAUCUGUUUACGAUAAUUAUGGCAACACUAAGCCAACAAAAUGCAAUCUGCGAAGUCUGUGAGAAGGAAUUUUCAAGCACAUUUACGAGAAACAGACAUCUUUAAGAAGUUCCACCCAGAAUUUUUUGGCCAGGAAUACAAGAAACACAUUAUAUGUCCAAUGUGUACCAACGAUACCUAGACAUUUUCUUAUUUUAAUAGUUUAAACAAACAUUUUUGUUUAAUAUUCACAAAAUAAAGAUUAAACAAUCAUUUUUAAAUUUUAGGAAUUUCAAAGAAUAUACCUCUUAUAGAGAACAAAGUAAGAGGGAAGUCGAUUAUGCUUGUCAGACCCAAAAUAAAUUUAAGAAUGGAGAGGAACAUAUAUUUUACAAUUGUAACAGGAGCAACAUCAGAGGAUUUAAUAGCUCUUGUAAAAUGAGAAACAUUAAGUCGGGGGGAAACAUAUGCAUCAAGGGACAUGCCCGUCAAGAAUUUUAGUUAAGGUUUAAAGAAUAAUAUUGCAUUAAUUUUUAUAUUCCUAGACUAAUUCAUAAUUUUAAUCCUUUGUAGGAUCAGUUGUGAUCAGAAGUGCUAGUUUACAGACCAAGCUUGAUGGAUUUAGUUUCUU
rnacentral:lncRNA from 1 species